UUCUAAAAUUCUACACCCUGAACACGCCUGAUUCCGUCUGAUCUCGGAAGCUAAGCAGGGUUGAGCCUGGUUAGUACUUGGAUGGGAGACCACCUAGGAAGGCUAGGUGCUGUAGGCU
rnacentral:rRNA from 1 species